ACACCUCAACUCUCAUGGUUUGCCAUGAUGAGCUUGGACUUUGGGGGUCUUGUUGGCCACAAGCCAGCUCCUCUUAAAUGGAUCAGCUUGCCAGUGUUUGGUGGAGUCACGGGUGUGAUAACUAUCUACGCUUGUGGUUUCCCAUCAGAUAACCUUCAGCGAUGGAGGUUCGCUGGGGCUUAUAAAUGUCUCUCCUCAGUGAGGGCAGAUUUUGACC
rnacentral:misc_RNA from 1 species